rnacentral:tRNA from 1 species
GCAUUGGUGGUUCAGUGGUAGAAUCCUAGCCUUCCAUGUAGGAGACCUGGGUUCGAUUCUUGCCAAUGCA